UGCAAGUCGAACGGUGAAGAGGAGCUUGCUCCUCGGAACAGUGGCGGACGGGUGAGUAACACGUGAGCAACUUGGCUCUAAGAGGGGGACAACAGUUGGAAACGACUGCUAAUACCGCAUAACGUAUCGGGAUGGCAUCUUCCUGAUACCAAAGAUUUUAUCGCUUAGAGAUGGGCUCGCGUCUGAUUAGAUAGUUGGCGGGGUAACGGCCCACCAAGUCGACGAUCAGUAGCCGGACUGAGAGGUUGAACGGCCACAUUGGGACUGAGACACGGCCCAGACUCCUACGGGAGGCAGCAGUGGGGGAUAUUGGACAAUGGGGGCAACCCUGAUCCAGCGACGCCGCGUGAGGGAAGAAGGUUUUCGGAUUGUAAACCUCUGUUGACGGAGAAAAAAAUGAUGGUAUCCGUUUAGAAAGCCACGGCUAACUACGUGCCAGCAGCCGCGGUAAUACGUAGGUGGCAAGCGUUGUCCGGAAUUACUGGGUGUAAAGGGAGUGUAGGCGGGAUAUCAAGUCAGAAGUGAAAAUUACGGGCUCAACUCGUAACCUGCUUUUGAAACUGACAUUCUUGAGUGAAGUAGAGGCAAGCGGAAUUCCUAGU
rnacentral:rRNA from 1 species